GCCCGGUUAGCUCAAUCGGUAGAGUAAGUUGAACUCGUUCACACAAACCUCUCAUACAAGAUCUAACUAACAGUUUAAUAGGCGUGAGACUCUUAAUCUCAAGGUUGCGGGUUCGACCCCCGCAUCGGGCU